rnacentral:rRNA from 1 species
GUGCCAGCAGCCGCGGUAAGACAGAGGUGGCAAGCGUUGUCCGGAAUUACUGGGCGUAAAGAGCGCGUAGGUGGCUAGAUAAGUCCGGUGUGAAAUCCUUCGGCUUAACCGGGGAAUGGCAUCGGGGACUGUUUAGCUAGAGGACGGGAGAGGAGAGCGGAAUUCCCGGUGUAGCGGUGAAAUGCGUAGAGAUCGGGAGGAAGGCCGGUGGCGAAGGCGGCUCUCUGGAACGUCCCUGACGCUGAGGCGCGAAAGCGUGGGGAGCAAACAGGAUUAGAAACCCCCGUAGUCC